UGGACAGAUGGCCGAGCGGUUUAAGGCAGCGGUUUACUAAACCGCCGAAGGUGCUUGCACUUUCCGUGGGUUCGAAUCCCUCUCUGUCCGU
rnacentral:tRNA from 1 species